rnacentral:rRNA from 1 species
GAUGAACGCUGGCGGCGUGCCUAAUACAUGCAAGUCGAGCGAACAGAUAAGGAGCUUGCUCCUUUGACGUUAGCGGCGGACGGGUGAGUAACACGUGGGUAACCUACCUAUAAGACUGGAAUAACUCCGGGAAACCGGGGCUAAUGCCGGAUAACAUUUAGAACCGCAUGGUUCUAAAGUGAAAGAUGGUUUUGCUAUCACUUAUAGAUGGACCCGCGCCGUAUUAGCUAGCUGGUAAGGUAACGGCUUACCAAGGCAACGAUACGUAGCCGACCUGAGAGGGUGAUCGGCCACACUGGAACUGAGACACGGUCCAGGCUCCUACGGGAGGCAGCAGUAGGGAAUCUUCCGCAAAGGGCGAAAGCCUGACGGAGCAACGCCGCGUGAGUGAUGAAGGUCUUCGGAUCGUAAAACUCUGUUAUUAGGGAAGAACAAAUGUGUAAGUAACUGUGCACGUCUUGACGGUACCUAAUCAGAAAGCCACGGCUAACUACGUG